AGUAACGCGUAUGCAACUUACCUAUCAGAGGGGGAUAGCCCGGCGAAAGUCGGAUUAAUACCCCAUAAAACAGGGGUCCCGCAUGGGAAUAUUUGUUAAAGAUUCAUCGCUGAUAGAUAGGCAUGCGUUCCAUUAGGCAGUUGGCGGGGUAACGGCCCACCAAACCGACGAUGGAUAGGGGUUCUGAGAGGAAGGUCCCCCACAUUGGUACUGAGACACGGACCAAACUCCUACGGGAGGCAGCAGUGAGGAAUAUUGGUCAAUGGCCGAGAGGCUGAACCAGCCAAGUCGCGUGAAGGAAGAAGGAUCUAUGGUUUGUAAACUUCUUUUAUAGGGGAAUAAAGUGGAGGACGUGUCCUUUUUUGUAUGUACCCUAUGAAUAAGCAUCGGCUAACUCCGUGCCAGCAGCCGCGGUAAUACGGAGGAUGCGAGCGUUAUCCGGAUUUAUUGGGUUUAAAGGGUGCGUAGGUGGUGAUUUAAGUCAGCGGUGAAAGUUUGUGGCUCAACCAUAAAAUUGCAGUUGAUACUGGCGUCCUUGAGUGCGG
rnacentral:rRNA from 1 species